AGAAUACAUGCCCUUUGUCCAUGUACGUGGACAACAGAACCAAAAAAGAAUGUUGCAAUUUCUUUGAAAUGAAUACAUGGGGAAGGGUAGAGCUUGAUUGCUACAGCAGCCUGGGAUAUAUAAGCCGAUAAGAAAUGCUGUUCAUAUCUGGCUUGGUGAGACCGUGUGAAGUAGGCCUUUUUGGCCCCAGCAACCCCCAACUCCUAACUUAAUCCUAACCAAAUCACAAACUAUUUACGACGACCUUCCCGGAGUGACUUUGGACUGUGGGAGGAAACUGGAACACCCAGGGAGAACGCACCCAUUCUACAGGGAGGACGAUUCUGGAAAUGAACUCCAAACUCUGGAAUGCACAGGAUUUAAUUACAUCACGUUAACUGCUAUGCUAUUUGUGUUGCCCGUAUGUGGAUAUAUGGAGCAGCCUUUUCCUGCUGAGAUUCUUUUCAGUGUUUUCUGGAAAACCAAAAAAAAGGAGAUAGUGAAAGCAA